AUACGUAGGGGGCAAGCGUUAUCCGGAUUUACUGGGUGUAAAGGGAGCGUAGACGGCAAAGCAAGUCUGAAGUGAAAGCCCCGGGCUCAACCCGGGAAUUGCUUUGGAAACUGUUUAGCUGGAGUGCAGGAGAGGUAAGCGGAAUUCCUAGUGUAGCGGUGAAAUGCGUAGAUAUUAGGAGGAACACCGGCGGCGAAGGCGGCUUACUGGACUGUAACUGACGUUGAGGCUCGAAAGCGUGGGGAGCAAACAGGAUUAGAUACCCUGGUAGUCCACGCCGUAAACGAUGAUUACUAGGUGUUGGUUGUCAUAGACAAUCGGUGCCGCAGCAAACGCAAUAAGUAAUCCACCUGGGGAGUACGGUCGCAAGAAUGAAACUCAAAGGAAUUGACAGGG
rnacentral:rRNA from 1 species